rfam:Candidate division Zixibacteria bacterium SM23_73_3 WORSMTZ_67886, whole genome shotgun sequence.
GCGCCUUUAGCUCAGCUAGGUAGAGCAACUGACUCUUAAUCAGUGGGUCGGGGGUUCGAUUCCCUCAAGGCGCA